rnacentral:rRNA from 1 species
CAGUAGCCGCGGUAAUACGUAGGGGGCGAGCGUUGUCCGGAAUUACUGGGCGUAAAGGGCACGCAGGCUGUGCUUCAAGUCAGCUGUAAAAGGAUGCGGCUUAACCGUGUUAUGCAGUUGAGACUGAGGUGCUGGAGUACCGGAGAGGCAAGUGGAAUUCCCAGUGUAGCGGUGAAAUGCGUAGAUAUUGGGAAGAACAUCGGUGGCGAAGGCGACUUGCUGGACGGUAACUGACGCUGAGGUGCGAAAGCCAGGGUAGCGAACGGGAUUAGAUACCCCCGUAGUCCCUGUCUCUUAUACA